UGGGGAAUCUUGCGCAAUGGGCGAAAGCCUGACGCAGCGACGCCGCGUGAGCGAUGAAGGCCUUCGGGUUGUAAAGCUCUGUGGACAGGAAAGAAUAAGGGCAAGCUAACACCUUGUCUGAUGACGGUACCUGUUUAGCAAGCACCGGCUAACUCUGUGCCAGCAGCCGCGGUAAGACAGAGGGUGCAAACGUUGUUCGGAAUCACUGGGCGUAAAGCGCAUGUAGGCGGCAAUGCAAGUCGGAUGUGAAAUCCCGCGGCUCAACCGUGGAAGUGCACCCGAAACUGCAUCGCUUGAGUGUCGGAGAGGAAGGUGGAAUGCUUGGUGUAGAGGUGAAAUUCGUAGAUAUCAAGCGGAACACCGGUGGCGAAGGCGGCCUUCUGGACGACAACUGACGCUGAGAUGCGAAAGCGUGGGUAGCAAACAGG
rnacentral:rRNA from 1 species